AGAGUUUGAUCCUGGCUCAGGACGAACGCUGGCGGCGUGCUUAACACAUGCAAGUCGAACGAGACCCAUUCUUUCGGGAGUGGUGGAAGUGGCGAACGGGUGAGUAACACGUAGGUAAUCUGCCCUCAAGUGGGGAAUAAUUCCGGGAAACUGGUUGUAAUACCGCAUAAAUUCCGGGAGGGACAUCCCUUCUGGAUUAAAGGCUUCGGCCGCUUGAGGAUGAGCCUGCGUCCCAUUAGCUAGUUGGCGGGGUAAACGCCCACCAAGGCGACGAUGGGUAGCUGGUCUGAGAGGACGACCAGCCACACUGGGACUGAGAUACGGCCCAGACUCCUACGGGAGGCAGCAGUGAGGAAUAUUGCGCAAUGGCCGAAAGGCUGACGCAGCAACGCCGCGUGGAUGAUGAAGCACUUUUGUGUGUAAAAUCCUGUUGAGAGGGAAGAAACUCCGCUUCUGGCGGACUGACGGUACCUCUAAAGAAAGCUCCGGCCAACUCCGUGCCAGCAGCCGCGGUAAUACGGGGGGAGCAAGCGUUGUCCGGAUUUAUUGGGCGUAAAGGGCGCGUAGGUGGGUUGGUAAGUGAGUGGUGAAAUCCCGAGGCUUAACUUCGGAAUGGCCUUUCAUACUGCCAAUCUCGAGUGCGAGAGGGGAAGAUGGAAUUCCUGGUGUAGCGGUGGAAUGCGUAGAUAUCAGGAAGAACACCGGUGGCGAAGGCGGUCUUCUGGCUCGUAACUGACACUGAGGCGCGAAAGCGUGGGUAGCAAACAGGAUUAGAUACCCUGGUAGUCC
rnacentral:rRNA from 1 species